UACGUAGGGUGCAAGCGUUAAUCGGAAUUACUGGGCGUAAAGCGUGCGCAGGCGGUGAUGUAAGACAGAUGUGAAAGCCCCGGGCUUAACCUGGGAAUUGCAUUGGAAACUAGCGGGCUGGAGUGUGGCAGAGGGGGGUGGAAUUCCACGUGUAGCAGUGAAAUGCGUAGAGAUGUGGAGGAACACCGAUGGCGAAGGCAGCCCCCUGGGCUAACACUGACGCUCAUGCACGAAAGCGUGGGGAGCAAACAGG
rnacentral:rRNA from 1 species